AGAUUUAGGAUAGACUAAACCAGGAGCCUUCAAAGCCCCAAACAAGAGCAUCAAUCUCUUAAUCUCUGCUU
rnacentral:tRNA from 1 species